rnacentral:lncRNA from 1 species
AUGCAAUUUCGUUAUUUAAUUAAUGGCCAUGAUUUUUAGUACAUUCGCACCAUGCCUUUACUUUUAAUCAAUGGACCGCAUUUUUGACAAUGCUUGUGAUGUCAGAGUAAUCCGGGGAGCAGAAAUGGCUCCUCUGAACACAGCGUGCGCAAACCAACUGAAUGAGCCAGAGGAAGUGGCGGGUGAUGUAGUCCACACCUUUCCGGUAGAUCAGAGUUGUAAAGCACAGACAGAACAAUGAGACAGAUAUUUCACCAGACGUAUAAAUGUGAAGCCCGGUUCCACUUACUACCAAAUAUGGUGAUGAACGGAAGUCCAGUAGCCCGAAAGUCGGAGAAGAUGGAGCGAGAAAGAUUUUGGCCGACAGAGGUCAUUAAGGCUCUGGUCUAUCUUGGGUUUGCUAUAAUAAUCUUUGGUAGUAGCACUUCAACUCGACUGAAAAGGAGAGAAACGAAAGCAGGUUGGAAAUUACUGAGAGGAGGGGGGAAACAGAAGGGGGAGACGAGGGGGUAUUUUUGGAUUAAAUCAAUGACCGUAGUCACCGGGACUUUAGGAUCACGGGCUCCUACGAACGAGUGGGUAGCCCAGUGCGACGUUUGAUGGAAUAGUUGCAGACAAUUGCCUUUCUCCUCAGGUGGUGCUGAUCGAAACAAGGGCGAGGAGGGGGACCUCGAAACACACUCACCAAGAGGAAGUCCAGAGUACCGCAGUGUUUUUGGAGGGCCUAUUCGAUUUCCUUGGUCUAUCAACAGUCCCCGCCCCUCUGACCCGGAAUUUAAUAGAAAUCGAUAGGAAUAAGAAAUCGAUCAUAUUAACAUUUUGUGACAGCUACAAUUAAGAAGUAUACGGCUUGUCAUACAAUUUACUUUCCAAACCUUUGGGUACAAAUUUGAACUUGGAUGCCUCAAACUCUGAGCAGUAAGUUAUUAGCAGCAAUCCUCAUAGUUACUGAUUUGUCACCAGGAAUAAGCUUAUUUUUGCCAGUUUAUUUGACAGACCGACACAUUCGUUAAGCAUUGAUUUGAUCCUGACUGCUCAGGGUGAGCUUCAUAUUUCACACCAUGUCCAUUGAUAGUUAGUUGCAGGGUUACGCCUGAUUAAGCAAAUAAAUCAAGUUGAAAGCUGCAUGGUUUUGACAUUAAGGAAGUAAUACGGGACGUACUGAAGAACCCAACCAGUUUUUUUUAAUUUGACAAGG